UACGGAGGGUGCAAGCGUUGCUCGGAAUUACUGGGCGUAAAGCGUACGCAGGCGGCCAGAAAAGUCGGGUGUGAAAGCCCGGGGCUCAACCCCGGAACUGCAUUCGAAACUCUCUGGCUUGAGUACGGGAGAGGGAAGCGGAAUUCCUGGUGUAGAGGUGAAAUUCGUAGAUAUCAGGAGGAACAUCGGUGGCGAAAGCGGCUUCCUGGCCCGAUACUGACGCUCAUGUACGAAAGCGUGGGGAGCAAACAGG
rnacentral:rRNA from 1 species